GCUGGGCCGUGCGGUUCGCGGGCCAGGAAAGACGUUGGUGCUGAGGGGGUGUCCGCCGCGGCUCCCAACUGACCCCGGGCUGCCGGGCUGGGGCCGGGCCCCGCUGCAGGUAGCGGGGCCUCCACCUGCCUGACAGUGGGUGACUCCACAGGCCGAGGAGGCCGCGAGGGGCUCAGAAGGGUUCUUACCUGAACUUGGUGUCUUCCUGACUGGGGCAGCAGAGCCAGCUGCUUAGAAGGUGGCCUGACUUCUGGCUGAGGCAGGGGAGAAGCCCCACGUCUUCGUAUGUGCAGGUUAAUUUGUGCCUACAGUUGCUCUCUCUAGAAGGGUUGAUGACGUCUCCUACUUUUCUCUCCCCCUUCUCUUCUCAAUGAUCCUGCCUAAAACUUGGUAAACACAGAGUCCCUGACUGCAUCAUCUGAGAAUUUCUGCCAACCAGAUGGGAUGAAUAUUGACCCUGGAGUUACUUUCCUUAACUUCUGUCCAGGCCCCGAAACUGGUUCUUCAGCAUGUCCUCCAAACUGUGAGAGACUCAGCCAGGAGGCGGAACUGUCCCCAUCCUCAUCAGGCCAAUGACACUUUCUUCGUCUGGGUUAAGAGACAUUAUUCAAAGACACUUGCACCGCACUGGAUCAUAACCUGUGGUCCUCCCCAUCAAUCACUAAUUAAGAAAAUAAAAUGCCCUACAGAGCUUGCCUACA